AUGUCAGCCGUAUAGUGGAUUUCCCCUCUGUGGAAGGCUCCUGUGCCCCUGAAAAUAAAGAUAUUCCUAUUGCAGUUGCUUCGGGACCGCUUGCCCUCGGGGACAGAGGUCUGCAAGCACAACGGCCCGGGCGACGGCAUUUUCCCUCUCUGUAGUGUCCUGGAGACAGGCUCUCACAUCUUGUUUUCUUGCACGGCGGCAAGGGCGUUGUGGAGCUUUGUGCGGGACACACUCGGGCCCGACUGGGAGGCCGGAGACCUGGCGGAAUUCCUACAGGCCAGGGCGACCCAGACUGGGCACAAGCGCCACCUAUUCUGGCUUAUAUUUGUUGGUGAAUGUAGCAGAAAUUCAAAAUUUUCCUGCGUGUCACCAAGAUCUAUCUAUGGAGAAACCAACAACGUGGGGAAGGAGAGUGCAUCUACAUACUCUUGUAGAUCUCUAAGCGGAAGCGUUCAAGAGAACGGGGUUGAAGGAGUCGUACUCGUCGUGAUCCAAAUCACCGGAGAUCCUAGUGCCGAACGGACGGCACCUCCGCGUUCAACACACGUACAGCCCGAUGACAUCUCCCAUGCCUUGAUCCAGCAAGGAGAGAGGGAGAGGUUGAGGAAGACUCCGUCCAGCAGCAGCACAACGGCAUGGUGGUGA
rnacentral:rRNA from 1 species